UGGGGGAUAUUGCACAAUGGGCGAAAGCCUGAUGCAGCGACGCCGCGUGGGGGAUGAAGGCUUUCGGGUUGUAACCUCUUUCGCUAUCGAACAAGGCCCGCUUAGGGUGGGUUGAGGGUAGGUGGAGAAGAAGCGCCGGCUAACUACGUGCCAGCAGCCGCGGUAAUACGUAGGGCGCGAGCGUUGUCCGGAAUUAUUGGGCGUAAAGGGCUUAUAGGCGGCUUGUUGCGCCUGCUGUGAAAACGCGGGGCUUAACUUCGCGCGUGCAGUGGGUACGGGCAGGCUUGAGUGUGGUAGGGGUGACUGGAAUUCCAGGUGUAGCGGUGGAAUGCGCAGAUAUCUGGAGGAACACCGAUGGCGAAGGCAGGUCACUGGGCCAUUACUGACGCUGAGGAGCGAAAGCAUGGGUAGCGAACAGG
rnacentral:rRNA from 1 species